GACGAACGCUGGCGGCGUGCUUAACACAUGCAAGUCGAACGAUGAAGCCGGAGCUUGCUCUGGUGAAUUAGUGGCGAACGGGUGAGUAACACGUGAGUAACCUGCCCUUGACUCUGGGAUAACUGCGGGAAACUGUAGCUAAUGCCGGAUACGACCCUCGGAGGCAUCUCCUGGGGGUGGAAAGAAUUUCGGUCAAGGAUGGACUCGCGGCCUAUCAGCUAGUUGGUGAGGUAAAGGCUCACCAAGGCGACGACGGGUAGCCGGCCUGAGAGGGGGACCGGCCACACUGGGACUGAGACACGGCCCAGACUCCUACGGGAGGCAGCAGUGGGGAAUAUUGCACAAUGGGCGCAAGCCUGAUGCAGCAACGCCGCGUGAGGGAUGACGGCCUUCGGGUUGUAAACCUCUUUUAGCAGGGAAGAAGCGAAAGUGACGGUACCUGCAGAAAAAGCACCGGCUAACUACGUGCCAGCCGCCGCAGUAA
rnacentral:rRNA from 1 species